rnacentral:rRNA from 1 species
UAUACGCUCGUCUCAAAGGUUAAGCCAUGCAUGUCUAAGUACAAACUGUCACCAAGUGAAACCGCAUAAGGCUCAGUAUAACAGCUAUAAUUCACGAGAUCGUCCACCCACCAGUUACUUGGAUAACUGUGGAAAAUCCAGAGCUAAUACAUGCGACAUGCCGGGACUGUGCGUGCGCCUCGUGCGCGCGUGCGGAACUGGUGCACUUAUUAGUUAAACCAUCCGCCCUCCGUGGCGAGUUGAGUUGAAGUCUGGAUAAGGAUGCCGAUCGUAUGGUCGCUCGCCGACCGACGACAGAUCUCUCGAAUGUCUGCCCUAUCAACUAUUGAUGGUAGUGUAGAGGACUACCAUGGUUGCGACGGGUAACGGGGAAUCAGGGUUCGAUUCCGGAGAGGGAGCCUGAGAAAUGGCUACCACAUCCAAGGAAGGCAGCAGGCGCGUAAAUUACCCAAUCCCGGCACGGGGAGGUAGUGACGAGAAAUAACAAUAUGGACCUCUCUAACGAUGGUCCAUAAUUGGAAUGAGUUGAGCAUAAAUCCUUCUGCAAGGAUCCAGUGGAGGGCAAGUCUGGUGCCAGCAGCCGCGGUAAUUCCAGCUCCACUAGCGUAUAUUAAAGUUGUUGCGGUUAAAACGUUCGAAGUUGAUUCUCCGUCCAGACUCGCGACCGCCGCGGGCUCCCGCCGGCGCACGGGCGUAUCUUUCGCGCUCGCGGCUGCGACUCACAAAUGUGUGCCCGGGCGUUCUACUCCGCGCGCGCGCGCCGGUUCCGCUCGCCGCGGGCCGCGCCGCCGUGUGGUGCCCGGGGUGCCCACGUUUACCUUGAACAAAUUAGAGUGCUCAAAGCGGGCUAGUAACAGGCGGCCCCCUCGACCGGGGGCCGUUAGCCAAGAAUAAUUUUGCAUGGAAUAAUGGAACAUGACCUCCGGUCUCCCCCUAUGUUUCGUUGGUUUGUCGCCAGACCCAGAGGUAAUGAUUAACAGAAGUAGUUGGGGGCAUUGGUAUUGCGGCGCGAGAGGUGAAAUUCGUAGACCGUCGCAGGACCGACUGAAGCGAAAGCGUUUGCCAUGGAUGCUUUCAUUGAUCAAGAACGAAAGUUAGAGGAUCGAAGGCGAUUAGAUACCGCCCUAGUUCUAACCGUAAACGAUGCCAAUCAGCAAUUGGGAGACGCUACUCUUACUCGGUGCUCUCAGUCGCUUCCGGAAACCACAAUCGGUUCCGGGGAAGUAUGGUUGCAAAGUUGAAACUUAAAGGAAUUGACGGAAGGGCACACAACGAAGUGGAGCUUGCGGCUUAAUUUGACUCAACACGGGAACAACUUACCAGGUCCGAACUUAUGUAGGUAAGACAGAUUGAGAGCUCUUUCUCAAACUUAAGGGUAGUGGUGCAUGGCCGUUCUUAGUUCGUGGAUCGAUUUGUCUGGUUAAUUCCGAUAACGAACGUGACUCAGUCUAGCUAACUAGAACGCUGUCAGCCGUGUUAGCCGGCCCUCGCGGGCCGGCGCACCUGACGUUACAGCCGGCAGCGCCGCGCGGUCUCCGGGCCGCGCGGCCCCCUGCCUGGCUCCGUUUGCCCUGCUUAGCGGGACAACUUGUGUUUAGCAAGAUGAGAUUGAGCGAUAACAGGUCCGUGAUGCCCUUAGAUGUUCUGGGCUGCACGCGUGCUACAAUGUGGGCAGCAGCGUGUUCUCGUCUUCGGGCGCCCCCAUUCCGAGAGGAACGGGAAAUCACUCAAAUGCUCAUUUAGUUGGGACUGGGGACUGCAAAGGUCCCCACGAACCUGGAAUUUCUAGUAAGUGCUAGUCAUCAGCUAGCGCUGAUUACGUCCCUGCCCUUUGUACACACCGCCCGUCGCUACUACCGAUGGAUUCUUUAGUGAGGUCUCUGGAGGCACGCCUUCCGCGAUUCCACCGCGAGUUGCAGUCGGACCGGCCGAAGUUGACCGAACUUGAUGAUUUAGAGGAAGUAAAAGUCGUAACAAGUUUCC